UAAAGGCACUGUCUAGUUGAUUGCAGAACAAGAAAGACUGUUUAUUGAGGGACAUAAGGCAGGGCCCAGCUCAGAAAGGCUGAGUGCUGGUGCAUAAGGCUUCCAGAAAAGGAAGGAAGGAAUGCUAACCAAUCCAACUUCCUGGAGCUUAUCACUUCUCCAGAAGUUGUGGUAUUUAGAAUUGCUUGUGUAAGAAGUAAUAAAAACCUGGCAGGCUGGUACCUGUUAAGCUGCUGACAUACGUUGCCCAUACAGUUUAUAGGCUGGUUCUGUGUUCGUUCAGGGUGGCCAGGUUAGCUACACAGCCCGGGUGCUAGCAAAACAAAGUAAAGUUUGGAAACAAAAUCAACUCUGACCUCAGUACCACCUCCUUUUCUCUCAACUUCUGAUCACGGGUGAUGCAACUUUCGUCUGGAGGCAGAUGCUGGCUUCUGGGAUGACAUCAGCUUGGUGCUUUGAAGUGCUUUGCUUGUCUCUUCUCAUGUGGCUGUUUUUUCCACACAAGUUUCCUUGCUACAUAGCUUCUUUGCUUUGGUUUACUUUGCUAUUUUGACCUAAAUCUGUUUCCUUUGUUCUUCACUGGUCCUCAGAGACUCAGCAUUGGUUACUCUGAUGUGAUCUGGGUGUAAAUACAGUGUAUGAGAGGAGGAGUGAAGGUUUUUACAGCAAAUGCUCCCAAAAGGUAUUUCUGAGAAGGUGGCUUACUGAGUCUUUGUCACACAGAUCCUGCCCAUUUCCGUGUGAACACUACUGAGAAGAGACUUAUCCAAGUUCCAACUCAAGGAACCAAUUGAGAAUAAUGGGAACUGGUCCUGUGGAGGGGAAGAAGCCCAGCUGAAGUUGGUGAGCACAGUAGAAGAUGGAACUUGUGGACUGCAGGGGGAGGAAGAGGCGGAACUUUCCACUAAGCUGAGCAAGUAGGAACUCUCAUAUUAAAACAAGAAUAGCUAA